UUUUGGUGAUGUGGGCAUUUACAAAGUAGGUCCCUAAAGUUCUCCUAUGUCUCAAAAAAGAGUUCCCUAUCCAUCUGUGAGAAACUCGUGAUGGCUCUCCAAAGCU